AGCAGCCGCGGUAAUUCCAGCUCCAAUAGCGUAUAUUAAAGUUGUUGCAGUUAAAAAGCUCGUAGUUGAAUUUCGGGGUCAGUAGCUUGGUCGUGCCACCGGUACGUACUGGUCUCACUGAUUCCUCCUUCCUGAUGAGCUGUAAUGCCAUUAAUUUGGUGUUGCAGGGAAUCUGGACUGUUACUUUGAAAAAAUUAGAGUGUUUAAAGCAGGCUAACGCUUGAAUACAUUAGCAUGGAAUAAUGAAAUAGGACGUUCGAUCCUAUUUUGUUGGUUUCUAGGAUUGACGUAAUGAUUAAUAGGGAUAGUUGGGGGCAUUAGUAUUCAAUUGUCAGAGGUGAAAUUCUUGGAUUUAUUGAAGACUAACUACUGCGAAAGCAUUUGCCAAGGAUGUUUUCAUUAAUCAAGAACGAAAGUUAGGGGAUCGAAGACGAUCAGAUACCGUCGUAGUCUUAACCAUAAACUAUGCCGACUAGGGAUCGGAUGAUGUUAAUUUUUUAAUGACUCA
rnacentral:rRNA from 1 species